GGCGUAAAAGCGUGUGUAGGCGGUUCGGAAAGAAAGAUGUGAAAUCCCAGGGCUCAACCUUGGAACUGCAUUUUUAACUGCCGAGCUAGAGUAUGUCAGAGGGGGGUAGAAUUCCACGUGUAGCAGUGAAAUGCGUAGAUAUGUGGAGGAAUACCGAUGGCGAAGGCAGCCCCCUGGGAUAAUACUGACGCUCAGACACGAAAGCGUGGGGAGCAAACAGGAUUAGAUACCCUGGUAGUCCACGCCCUAAACGAUGUCAACUAGCUGUUGGGGCCGUUAGGCCUUAGUAGCGCAGCUAACGCGUGAAGUUGACCGCCUGGGGAGUACGGUCGCAAGAUUAAAACUCAAAGGAAUUGACGGGGACCCGCACAAGCGGUGGAUGAUGUGGAUUAAUUUGAUGCAACGCGAAAAACCUUACCUACCCCUGACAUGUCUGGAAUGCCGAAGAGAUUUGGCAGUGCUCGCAAGAGAACCGGAACACAGGUGCUGCAUGGCUGUCGUCAGCUCGUGUCGUGAGAUGUUGGGUUAAGUCCCGCAACGAGCGCAACCCUUGUCAUUAGUUGCUACGCAAGAGCACUCUAAUGAGACUGCCGGUGACAAACCGGAGGAAGGUGGGGAUGACGUCAAGUCCUCAUGGCCCUUAUGGGUAGGGCUUCACACGUCAUACAAUGGUCGGGACAGAGGGUCGCCAACCCGCGAGGGGGAGCCAAUCUCAGAAACCCGAUCGUAGUCCGGAUCGCAGUCUGCAACUCGACUGCGUGAAGUCGGAAUCGCUAGUAAUCGCGGAUCAGAAUGUCGCGGUGAAUACGUUCCCGGGUCUUGUACACACCGCCCGUCACACCAUGGGAGUGGGUUUCACCAGAAGUAGGUAGCCUAACCGUAAGGAGGGCGC
rnacentral:rRNA from 1 species